rnacentral:rRNA from 1 species
UACGGAGGGUGCAAGCGUUGUCCGGAUUUAUUGGGUUUAAAGGGUGCGUAGGCGGCCCUGUAAGUCAGUGGUGAAAUACUGCAGCUUAACUGUAGCAUUGCCAUUGAUACUGUAGGGCUUGAGUACAGAUGAGGUAGGCGGAAUUGAUGGUGUAGCGGUGAAAUGCAUAGAUACCAUCAAGAACACCGAUUGCGAAAGGCAGCUUACUAAGCUGUAACUGACGCUGAGGCACGAAAGCGUGGGGAUCGAACAGG